rnacentral:rRNA from 1 species
GAUUAACGCUGGCGGCGUGCAUAACACAUGCAAGUCGAACGAUGAAACUUAAAUGAUUUCUUCGGAAUGAACUUAAGUGGAUUAGUGGCGGACGGGUGAGUAACGCGUGAGUAACCUGCCUUACACAAGGGGAUAGCCGUUGGAAACGACGAAUAAUACCCUAUGAAACUAUCACUUCGCAUGAAGCGAUAGUCAAAGUGUUAGCGGUGUAAGAUGGACUUGCGUCUGAUUAGCUAGUUGAUGAGAAAAAAGCCCACCAAGGCAACGAUCAGUAGCCGGCUUGAGAGAGUGUACGGCCACAUUGGGACUGAGACACGGCCCAGACUCCUACGGGAGGCAGCAGUGGGGAAUUUUGCACAAUGGGGGAAACCCUGAUGCAGCGACGCCGCGUGAUUUAGAAGGCCUUCGGGUUGUAAAAAUCUUUUGUAUAGGAAGAAAAUGACAGUACUAUACGAAUAAGGUCCGGCUAAUUACGUG